rnacentral:lncRNA from 1 species
AGAAGUGAAAAGUGUGUGAGUCAGAGUGAAAGUGAGACUGAGAGUGAGAGUGAGUUUUUCAGUGUGUAUGGAGGCUGCCCAAAUUCGCCCUUUGUUCCAAUGAAUUUUUAGAAUUUAUACUCUGGUUUUUGGGGCUUGGUGGGCUCAGAAUGAAGGAAAUUCAAGCCCAUGAUCUUUUCUGUUAUAUUUUUUAUUUUCAAAACGCGUGGGCUUCGCCUAGCGAAGAAUUUGCUCGCCUAGCGAGCAAGACAG